rnacentral:rRNA from 1 species
UAACGCGAAGAACCUUACCCAGGCUCGAACGGCAAAUGACAUCCGGCGAAAGUCGGCUCCCGCAAGGGCAAUUGUCGAGGUGCUGCAUGGCUGUCGUCAGCUCGUGUCGUGAGAUGUUGGGUUAAGUCCCGCAACGAGCGCAACCCUCGUCUUAUGUUGCCAGCACGUUAUGGUGGGGACUCAUAAGAGACUGCCGGGGUCAACUCGGAGGAAGGUGGGGAUGACGUCAAAUCAUCAUGCCCCUUAUGUCUUGGGCUUCACGCAUGCUACAAUGGCCGGUACAAAGGGCUGCGAUACCGCGAGGUGGAGCGAAUCCCAAAAAGCCGGUCUCAGUUCGGAUUGGGGUCUGCAACUCGACCCCAUGAAGUCGGAGUCGCUAGUAAUCGCAGAUCAGCAACGCUGCGGUGAAUACGUUCCCGGGCCUUGUACACACCGA